rnacentral:rRNA from 1 species
AUGGGCCUGUGCCUGAUGAAGCGGUGCAGAACGGCAGCGAUCAUCCUGCGCCGGAAUGCUUUGACAAGCCGACGGGGGAGGAGGAAGAGGAGGGGGAAGAGGAGGCAUCGGAAGGGAGUGAGGACAGUGUGGAGGACGGAGGCCAUAAGGGGCGGAAGCGACCGCCGCUUCAGAGGAGCAAUCGAAGCUGCGUGCAGGCCAAGAGGUUCAAGAACCGGGGAGGGAAAGGGUCCCAAGCCUCUGACCCAUCGUGCUGUGACUGCUGCAUCCAUCUACCAUUUUAUUGCCGGACAUUACAUUGCAUGUUGCUCCCUUCUAGUUAAUUUUCGGCGAUUUGUUACCGUGAUGUAG